CCCCGGUAGCUCAACGGUAGAGCGUUCGGCUGUAGACCGAAAGGCUGUGAGUUCAAAUCUCACCCGGGG
rnacentral:tRNA from 1 species